rnacentral:lncRNA from 1 species
GGGGCCCGUGGCAGCUGACAGGGAAUAUUGUGUGUUGAGAAAGGAAAUGAGUUCCAAGGAUACCAAGGACAACGUUACCAGAGGCAGAAAUGACACGAGAUACAAAAGAACGUAUUCAAAAAUUUAACAAAACAGAAAUGGAAAAUUAUUUUAAAAUAUAUUGAAAUAUCAACGAAUAACACCUCAAAUGUACAGGGAUAUGUAAAGCAGCAACUCGGGUCGGAAGCAAGGAAUCGAGGCGUUGGGUGUGUUUAAACUUGACGAGGUAGGGAGAAGAGACCCUGAUACAAACUCCUUCAGAAUCGUUGACUCUCGGUCCUUUCUAGUAUAUUUUUUUAGUAGAACAACGUGCAGAUAAGUGUUUAAAAUGCAGAUCUUCCUAAGGAAACACUUUUAAAGGCAACAGAGGGGAAUUUUUUUUUAAGUUAAAAUGGAAGAAGUUAGUGGGUUUAACAGAUAUGAACAACUGAGUUUCCUUUGGGGGAGAGGCAAUGAAAAGAGCCGGAGUACUUUAGGGAUCACUUUGGAGAGGAUAUUGUAGUGGGGGAAAGGAAGGUAAAAACUUAGGAAGCAGAGUAGUACCUUUAAAGUCGUCAGUACUUUAUAUACCAUCAACUGGGCUAUGGACAACAGAAGCUGUGCCUGGAAAUAACUCACACUGAAGGUUAACUUGAAUAUAAAUUUAGAACAGAUCUUAAAUACAAAUGAUGAUGUUCAUUAUAAACUGUUAUUCUUCAAAGACUCAUUUAACUGAAGUAACAUUGUAUUUGCAUACCAGAGCACUGGUGUUUUUCAAAAUGAGUUUAGGAUAAGAAAAUUCACUUGAAAAGCUGGAGUAUGUAUGUAUUUUGCGCCAUCAUGGAUUUUAUCAUAAGCAGUGUUCAAGAAAACAAAUUACCAGCGAAUUCCCACCCUAUGAGUAAAAGUUAUCUUGUCAACAUAUCAAUAGAUGAACAUUUUGUAC